GGAUAUAGUAAAAAAUAUAAUUUAUUGAAAAAGUCUUAACAUGUCAGGAUUGUAAAAUAGCAGCAUAAGAUUUAAAAAUGAAUUAGUAUUUUUUACUAUAUCUACCAUU
rnacentral:SRP_RNA from 1 species